AUACAUACUUCCAUUGCUCACUUCUGUGCUCCAUGAUGAAAUUCAGUGGGGGAAACCCUAUCAAUUCUAUCCUGAGCAUUUUCUUGACUCUGAAGGAAAAUUUGUGAAGAGGGAUACAUUCAUGCCAUUUUCUGCAGGUCGAAGAAUAUGUGCAGGUGACAACCUGGCCAAAAUGGAGCUCUUCCUCUUCUUCACCAGCUUCCUGCAAAUAUUUACCUUCCAUCCACCCCCAGGAACAUCUAAAGAUAACCUGGACCUCACCCCCAUUUUUGGACUUUCCGCCUCUCCAAUGCUUUUCAAGACCUGUGCUAUGUUGCGUUGAUCUGAAAAAAAAUAUAACAAGCUGUUUUUUAUGCUUUGAAAUUGCUUUUUUUUUUUUUUUUAACGGCAAGGCAAUAUCUGACAAUCUGAUGCCAUAUGGUCUAGUUUUUAGAUGUUGUUUAAAGACUAAAUUGUAUAAAAGAAAAGAAAAGUAA